UUAUAACACGGAGUUAGAGAAACUCCGACUGAAGUUCAUCUCAUCCUUCCUCUGUGUCGGAUUGAGGAGAGAGGACAGAGCUAAAGGGGAGAGAGAACUAGUUAAAAGUAAAGGUUUUAUAUUGAAGAAGCUGUAGCCUGUAAGAGUAAAAUAGUAUAUGAAAAUUGAAAUAAUAAUUAGAGCACAUGAAGUCCACUCCAAUGGAUCUCAAACUCAUUUUCUUAAAACUAAACACAGGUGUGUAAAAUCAGAUCGUUUGAGAUUUAUUCUCUGCCUACAGAAC
rnacentral:lncRNA from 1 species